UAAAUAUUAAUAUAUUUACAUAAUAUUGUAUUAGUAUUAUACGAUAUUAAGUUGUGAUAAUUGUUAUGUAUGUCUGACUGCUGGGCAGUCUGGAAUUCGCUGAGAACCAGUGCAGUCAGAGUUCCCUAGAAUACGAUUAAUAAGAGGAGAUAAAUUAAUGUAAUUUUCGUAACGAUAAGAGAGAGACCGCAUCGCGGGCUAAGCGCUUUGCCGAUCCGCCUCUAUACGAGCGAGAAGAUAUAUGUAUCCGCGAUAUGCGCGACAUGGUGUCGAAAGAGUCGGAUUGGCAAUGUACUGACUUGACAAGGCUCCAGGUAACGACGACGAGGUUUUUGACCGAGGUGCAUACACCGGCAACAUACAUUCCACACUAUAACAUGGCAAAAGAAUGCGAAGAGAAAAAAAAAGAGUACGGAGAGAAAGAAAGAUGUAUAUUUAUAAACUAUGCCAAAGAGAAAAAGCUCUUGUAACAUGCUAACGUGUACUUAAAAUCGUCGGAACGUGUCGUUCGUACUUGAGCAUUCAUAAUUAACGAGCGACGAUUAGGACAGGACUAUGCGAAAGUCCAAGGCGAUACUUGUUCUCGAGCUCCCAAGGUUCCGAAUCCCUUGGCGCGCCUCGACUCGACGAAUGCUAUCAUUGAUCGCGAACGAUCCUUGAUUAAGCAAACGACGUAAGCACAACACAAACACACACUCAGAUGUACUUUUACCUUAUUUCGCUCUCUUGAACAUACAAAUGAAAGGGUGUGUGGGGGUGGGGGGUUACGUUCACGUUGGACCUUCGUGCUGGCAUCGUGCGAUUUGAAAGAAAAGGGGAAAAAAACCACAACUUCGGUGCCAAACAAUUGUAUAUAACAUUAUAAAAGUAGGGACUUAAAAAAAAUAAGACGGAUUGCGCGCCAGUUAAUCGCGAUGGCAUUUAAUGCGACGGAUGAAAAAGAGAGGAAAGUAGUGAAUGCGGGGGGGGGGAGGGGGUACUUUCUUAACGUUAAGAGUAUCUUCGGAAGGGAGAAAGAGGAGACUCUUUUUGAAUUACGUACGUUGCGUUGUUUCGCGUAAACGUUAUAAAAAAAGACAGCGCGUACCUUUGAUACGUGAGAGUAAUCAAAGGAGGACGAUAAUAGGACUCUUAGUACGCUUUUAGUACGCGCUGUGAACUUAGUUAAUUAUCUAACUAGACCUCUCUUGGAUGUGUCUUCGAUUAUGAAAAUGAUUAUCAAAAAUUUAAUCACAACACACACUGGCAACCAAAUUUAAACGGAGACCAUCAUGCCCGGAUGAUUGAUCAGGCCUCCAUAUAUUAUAUGUCACAACCUGCCAAUGAUGUAUACAGGCUCGGUUAUUCGUGUUAUAUCCGGUGUAUCGACAUGAAUAAUCACAUCUACGGCAGAUUGGAGAGAUAACAUUUGUUAAUCUGACCAAACUAUAGUAUAUUUGCUGUUGCUAUAAAAAAAAAAUAGAGAAACAAUAAGCUAUGAACAAUCUACGUAUAAUAAAUCAAUGUAUGUGCUA